ACACAUUAAAAAACAAUUACGAUAAGCAGUUUUUUUUACAUUUAAUGAAUAUUUUUACUAUACCAAUAACGACUGUAUAAUUCGACAACUUCCAGCUGAGCAUUCUAUAUAUAAACACACUGCCGUUAGCCGGGUAUAGGGGUUCAUGAAGUCUCAGGUGUCGCAGUGUUUACUCAGCACACUUUUAAUAAAUUAUCCGGUCAAUGAUUAUUUGAUUCAUUUUCUACAGAGUUUCAAUUAAAAAAUACGUAAG